rnacentral:rRNA from 1 species
UACGAAGGGGGCUAGCGUUGCUCGGAAUCACUGGGCGUAAAGCGCACGUAGGCGGAUUGCUAAGUCAGGGGUGAAAUCCUGGAGCUCAACUCCAGAACUGCCCUUGAUACUGGCGGUCUCGAGUCCGGGAGAGGUGAGUGGAACUGCGAGUGUAGAGGUGAAAUUCGUAGAUAUUUGGAAGAACACCAGUGGCGAAGGCGGCUCACUGGACUGGUAUUGACGCUGAGGUGCGAAAGCGUGGGGAGCAAACAGGG